AUUGAACGCUGGCGGCAGGCCUAACACAUGCAAGUCGAACGAGUGGCGGACGGGUGAGUAAUGUCUGGGAAACUGCCUGAUGGAGGGGGAUAACUACUGGAAACGGUAGCUAAUACCGCAUACCAUCGGAUGUGCCCAGAUGGGAUUAGCUAGUAGGUGGGGUAACGGCUCACCUAGGCGACGAUCCCUAGCUGGUCUGAGAGGAUGACCACACAAACGGGAACGGAGACCGGGUCCGGACUCCUACGGGAGGCAGCAGUGGGGAAUAUUGCACAAGGGGCGCAAGCCUGAUGCAGCCAGGCCGCGUGUAUGAAGAGGGCCUUCGGGUUGUAAAGUACUUUCAGCGGGGAGGCGUUACCCGCAGAAGAAGCACCGGCUAACUCCGUGCCAGCAGCCGCGGUAAUUC
rnacentral:rRNA from 1 species